CAUGGCCCGAAAUUUAGGUCAUGACAGUUUUCAUAGUGUCAAGAAGUACGAAAGAAAAAGCUUUGGAUCAAGAGGAAAAGAAUAUGGAUGAUCCGCUAGUUCAACCAAGUUAUGGUAAGUGGAACUUUGAUUUUGGUUAUAGAUUUCUUAAGGAAAUGAGUUGGUAAUUGUUGGAAUAUGUUUGUGGUAGCAAAGAUCUACAAGGUUUAAAGGAGAAUAGUUGCAUGCAUGUCACCAACCCAUUGUUAAAUGGUAGAAAUUGAGGUAUAAAGAAAACGGCUUUGGAGGAAUAUUGAAGUGCAUG
rnacentral:lncRNA from 1 species